rnacentral:rRNA from 1 species
AGUGAACGCUGGCGGUAGGCCUAACACAUGCAAGUCGAACGGCAGCACGGUAAGAGCUUGCUCUUACGGGUGGCGAGUGGCGGACGGGUGAGGAAUACAUCGGAAUCUACUUUUUCGUGGGGGAUAACGUAGGGAAACUUACGCUAAUACCGCAUACGACCUACGGGUGAAAGCAGGGGAUCUUCGGACCUUGCGCGAUUGAAUGAGCCGAUGUCGGAUUAGCUAGUUGGCGGGGUAAAGGCCCACCAAGGCGACGAUCCGUAGCUGGUCUGAGAGGAUGAUCAGCCACACUGGAACUGAGACACGGUCCAGACUCCUACGGGAGGCAGCAGUGGGGAAUAUUGGACAAUGGGCGCAAGCCUGAUCCAGCCAUACCGCGUGGGUGAAGAAGGCCUUCGGGUUGUAAAGCCCCUUUGUUGGGAAAGAAAAGCAGCAGGUUAAUACCCCGCUGUUCUGACGGUACCCAAAGAAUAAGCACCGGCUAACUUCGUG